rnacentral:rRNA from 1 species
UACGUAGGGGGCAAGCGUUGUCCGGAAUUAUUGGGCGUAAAGAGCGCGUAGGCGGUCCGGUAAGUCCGCUGUGAAAGUCGGGGGCUCAACCCUCGAAUGCCGGUGGAUACUGUCGGGCUAGAGUGCGGAAGAGGCGAGUGGAAUUCCUGGUGUAGCGGUGAAAUGCGCAGAUAUCAGGAGGAACACCUAUUACGAAGGCAGCUCGCUGGGACGUUACUGACGCUGAGACGCGAAAGCGUGGGGAGCAAACAGG